rnacentral:rRNA from 1 species
CCUACGGGUGGCAGCAGUGGGGAAUAUUGGGCAAUGGGCGCAAGCCUGACCCAGCAACGCCGCGUGAAGGAAGAAGGCUUUCGGGUUGUAAACUUCUUUUAAGAGGGAAGAGCAGAAGACGGUACCUCUUGAAUAAGCUACGGCUAACUACGUGCCAGCAGCCGCGGUAAUACGUAGGUGGCAAGCGUUGUCCGGAUUUACUGGGGGUAAAGGGCGUGUAGCCGGGCUGACAAGUCAGAUGUGAAAUUCCCGGGCUCAACCCCGGACCUGCAUUUGAAACUGGUGGUCUUGAGUAUCGGAGAGGCAGGCGGAAUUCCUGGUGUAGCGGUGAAAUGCGUAGAUAUUAGGAGGAACACCAGUGGCGAAGGCGGCCUGCUGGACGACAACUGACGGUGAGGUGCGAAAGCGUGGGUAGCAAACAGGAUUAGAUACCCCAGUAGUC